GUCAGCCAGACAAUCGGGCCAAAGAUAUUUGAGGAGGGGGGCUCCUCAGUGAGCACAGGGGGAGGAGGGAGGAAGAGGCAGGAGGAGGAGGAUGGGCCUCGAACACAGACUUGCAAUGGCACUGCAAAAAUUGGAUUAAAGCAGUAUGCUGGACAAGAGUGAGGUGGUAACUCUAGGCCUUCCCUCCUCCACCAGCCAUGGAGGCUCUGACAGUAACAUCAGUACAGAAGGAGCAGGAGCAUCAUCUGCAGUCACAGCAGCAGGUGCUGAAGCGUCAGGGGCUGGUGAGCCACAGCGAACUCGAGCUGCUCUGGAGCACCUACAGCAGAAAAUCCUGAAGGUCACGGAGCAGAUUCGUGUAGAGCAAGAGGCACGUGAUGACAACGUUGCAGAGUAUCUGAAGUUGGCUCACAAUGCAGACAAACAACAGGCAUCAAGGAUCAAGCAGGUGUUUGAGAAGAAGAACCAGAAGUCAGCACAGACCAUCGCACACUUGCACAAAAAACUGGAGCACUACCACAAGAAGCUGAAAGAAAUCGAGCAGAAUGGACCAGCCCGACAGCCAAAGGAUGUCCUGCGGGACAUGCAACAAGGAUUAAAGGACGUCGGGGCCAACGUUCGUGCAGGAAUAAGUGGUUUUGGUGGUGGGGUGGUUGAAGGAGUUAAAGGAGGCGUAUCUGCCCUGACUCACACAGCUGUAGUUUCCAAACCGAGGGAAUUUGCCAGUCUUAUCCGCAACAAAUUUGGCAGCGCAGACAACAUUGCUCACCUAAAGGACACACUUGAGGACGGCAUUGGGGGCCACUCUGAAGAUACCCCCACACCCCGUGCAUUGAGUGGAAGUGCCACAUUGGUCUCCAGUCCAAAGUACGGCAGUGACGACGAAUGUUCCAGUGCCACAUCGGGCUCUGGAGCAGGCAGUAAUUCUGGUGGGGCAGGAGGAGGCGGCGGGAUGUUGGGCCCAGCAAUGGGGAGUCCCAGACUAGACGGGCACCACCAUCAUCACCAUCACAUGCACAGCUCUUGGGACUCUCUAUUCGAGGGCCUGCAGGAGAUCAAGUCCAGUCAGGUAAACAUGGAGGAUGCCAUUGAGGACAUGAAAAGUCAGCUGCAGAGUGACUACUCCUACAUGACCCAAUGCCUGCAAGAAGAGAGAUACAGGUAUGAGCGACUUGAAGAGCAGCUGAAUGACCUAACAGAGCUGCACCAGAAUGAAAUGACCAACCUCAAACAAGAGCUGGCCAGCAUGGAAGAAAAAGUGGCCUACCAGUCAUAUGAGAGAGCCAGAGACAUUCAGGAAGCUGUGGAGUCAUGUCUGACCCGAAUCACCAAGCUGGAGCUGCAGCAGCAACAGCAGCAGGUGGUCCAGUUGGAGGGUGUGGAGAACGCCAAUGCUCGCGCUCUUCUCGGAAAACUUAUCAACGUUAUCCUGGCACUCAUGGCUGUGCUGCUAGUCUUUGUCUCCACUCUCGCAAACUUCAUUACCCCACUGAUGAAGACCCGGGCCCGAGUCGGUGCCACCGUCCUCCUGACCUUGCUGCUGUUUGUCGUGUGGAAGCAGUGGGACUCCCUGGAACUGUGGCUGCUGCCCAGCUGAGCAGACUCCAGAGGAAACAGAGUACGCAGGAGAGGACUGAAAUAGAGCCACUGAACUCGUAUCCUUUGUGUUUGAGACAGCGCGUACCUCUGGCACAAAAAUCUAGCACAUGGUUCACUUUUGGUUAAAAGGACAAAGAACAAGAACCAAUAAAAUCUCUGCUUGCCAAAUGAUAAACAUCUUCUCUUCUCUUGUUGUUGAUGACCAAUCAUUGAUUGCAUUGCUAUCACCAAAAACUUGCAAGAAAUCUGUGGAACAUAUACGGAUUUAUGAUCGGCGAGUGACAAGGACUAACUCGAAAGGACUGUAUAACGCUGAUCACGUUUGCCAUAACCUUCACGUUGAAGCGAAAGUACAUUUGACAGGAAAGAUUUUUUUCAUGAAUGUGAUUUGUUCAUGCAUGUCUCCAAAUGUGCAUUGAAAUGCAUCAAACUGGCACGAGUUAAUGUUUCAUUAAUAAAUAAACUGGCCAUUUUAUUGUAAUACUAAUACAGUGCAAAUAUGUUGUAUGUCAAUGCUGUCAUUCUUAGUUUCACACUCUGCUCUGGAGUUCAGGUACUGCUUUAAGACUUUUUGUUGUUGUUGUCAAGACCAGCUUGAGAAUAAUUCAACUAUCUGAAAUGUGUUUUCUUCAUUAAUGCUGUUUAAUAACCACUAAUGUAAAACUGCUCACUUCCACAUCGUCGCAUUUACUGGCAUGUCAAAUUGUAUCAAAGACCAUAUACAGUUUGCAAAAAAAGAAAAAAAUUAUUGCAGUUUUAUUAAACAUUGUUAAUAAAUGAUUUACUA